rnacentral:pre_miRNA from 13 species
GAUUAUGGAGUGGAGCUCCUUGAAGUCCAAUAGAAGCUCCUGCUGGGUAGAUCGAGCUGCUGAGCUAUGAAUCCCACAGCCCUAUCACCAUCAGUCAUUUUGAUGGGCCUGCGGCUUGCAUAUCUCAGGAGCUUUAUUACCUAAUGUUAGAUCUUUUUUUGGAUUGAAGGGAGCUCUAAACCUUUGAUCU